rnacentral:rRNA from 1 species
CAAGCUACCCUAGGUACAUGCUCAAUCUGUGGUGUUGAAGAUGAAUGUGUUUUUCAUGCUUUGGUAUGCUGUCCCAAGGUACGUGCAUUCCGUAUGGGUUUGAGAGAGGUGUGGAAUUUGCUGGAUGAAGAUAUUUUAAACUGUUCUGAGCCAGACUGGUUACUUAUUUUAUUGGAUCAGUUAAGUUCACCUAUGCGUGAGCAAACAAUUUUCAUGUUCUGGAGAGCUUGGCAUUUGAGAAAUGACUUGAUUUUUGGUAAAGGAAAGGAAUCU